CCCUUAGAUGUUCUGGGCCGCACGCGCGCUACACUGACUGGUGCAACAAGUGUCGCUCCUUGGCCGAUAGGCCUGGGCAAUCUUUGAACGCCAGUCGUGAUGGGGAUAGAUUCUUGCAAUUUUUGAUCUUCAACGAGGAAUUCCUAGUAAACGCGAGUCAUCAACUCGCAUUGAUUACGUCCCUGCCCUUUGUACACACCGCCCGUCGCACCUACCGAUUGAAUGGUCCGGUGAACCCUCCGGAUCGGCUCGCGCCAACGCAAGUUGAGCAAAGGCCGAGAAGUUGGGUAAACCUUACCAUUUAGAGGAAGGGGAAGUCGUAACA
rnacentral:rRNA from 1 species